rnacentral:rRNA from 1 species
CAGCCGCGGUAAUACGGAGGGUGCGAGCGUUAAUCGGAAUGACUGGGCGUAAAGGGCACGCAGGCGGUGACUUAAGUGAGAUGUGAAAGCCCCGAGCUUAACUUGGGAAUUGCAUUUCAUACUGGGUUGCUAGAGUAUUUUAGGGAGGGGUAGAAUUCCACGUGUAGCGGUGAAAUGCGUAGAGAUGUGGAGGAAUACCGAAGGCGAAGGCAGCCCCUUGGGAAAAUACUGACGCUCAUGUGCGAAAGCGUGGGG